CGAGCUGCAGGGCUAUUAUGGUCGAUUUUAUAAAUGAUAUGGCUGUAUAAAUGAUAAUAUAACUAACAUUUUAUCCAGUUUUUAUUGAUUUGACGUCUUUUCCACUUUUGACAGCGAUAGAUGUUAAAUGAUUUACUGCAUAACAUGGUCGGUGGAUAAUUUGUCAUUUGUCUAAAUUUCUGACUUAAACUUAGUUGAUAAGUGGAUAAGUUAAAUGAUAUAAAUGACACUUGUCUAGAUUUAUAUCGUUUUAUAGCAUUUAUACCGUUUUGUCUACUUUUGACAGCGAUAGACGGUAAAUGGCAACGUUUGUUGAAUAAUUAAAUAUAUAGUCGAGUUUUGACGGCUAGACUUUGAUUAUUUUAUCCUAGUGCUCACUGGGUCACGAUAAGUGCUCUUGUGCUAUAUAAAUGGUGCAAAAUACAAAUUUUUGGAGUUAAAUAUCAGUAAGUAUAUGUGUUUUUCAUUAUAUAUACAAUCAAACUCAUUUAUUUACAUAUAACAUUAUCAAUACAUUUUUCAGGGAUGGCAAGAUAUCAUUUCUUCUUGGCAGCUGCUGCUAUCGAAGAAAAACAAGACGGAAAACUUCAACGCCGGGCCAUAAGGGAUGCAUGCAACCCGUUUGAUAAGCCCGACGAGGAGUUAUGGCGCAUAUAUAGGGUGCGGAAAGAAUUAGCACUCUAUGUGUGCUGAACUUGACGCCGACCUCAAGCCUCAACAUGGCGAUGGAUUGCCGGCACAUCUUAAAGAUAUAAUGUUGCACUAUUCCUCAAAUCUUUCCCGUUACCUUUACCACCUUGAUCAUAAUCAUUAUUUCAUAAUGAUAUACCUACUUACAAGUCUUUGUUUUAGGUUUUAACAUCACUGCACCUAUUGGCUGACGGUAGUUACUAACGGGGAACUGGACAAGACCAUGGCUUGUCCAUUGCUCAGUCUACCGUCAGCCGGUACUUGGAUCAAUUUGUAAUUGUGGUGAAUAGAAGGUAUGUCCAUUUUGGUACAGAAUACCACUGACACCGGAGAUAAGAAGGUAAAAAAAUACGAGUAUGGAUGUGCAGUGUGACAUAUGAAGGCAAAAAGACGCAGUCAGUAACAAAAUAUUUAUAUUUAUUUUCUUACGUAGAUUUUUAGGGACCAUGAAGUACAAAUAAGGCUUGAAUGUGGAUUUUUGUGGUAUUUGUAUUUGAAGUGUUUCUACCUAAAUAUUUCAAUGCAGAAUCAUACCUUAUUUUUGUUAUUAUAUGCAACUUCUUUACCACUCUUACAUAUGUAUUUAUGUAAGUAUUAUUCAAUGCUACGUGUAGCUAAAGUACCAAAUCAUGAAAGUAUUGGAUUGUUUACAGACUCAAGAACACUUGGAUAGUCGUCCCAGAAAAUGAGAGGUGUUCAGGAGGCAUAUGGGGUUGCUAACAUUUUAGGCACAGUAGACUGCACCCAAGUAAAAAUAUUUCCAUAACCUUUACCGCAUGGCGUACAGUUUCUAAACAGAAAAGGAAUUCAUUCGCUAAACGUUCAGUUGAAAUCUUCCAAUAAAAGGCGAACCUGAAGCGGAAAUGGAAGGGGGCGCUGCUCGAGGGAUGCAUUACAUGCAGAGAAGCGUGCCCUAUUAAUAAAUAAAUAUUUCGCCUAGUAUUAUUUUA